rnacentral:rRNA from 40 species
GGAUUUAGUGGCGGACGGGUGAGUAACGCGUGAGAAUCUGGCUUCAGGUCUGGGACAACCACUGGAAACGGUGGCUAAUACCGGAUGUGCCGAAAGGUGAAAGGUUAACUGCCUGAAGAUGAGCUCGCGUCUGAUUAGCUAGUUGGUAGAGUAAAAGCCUACCAAGGCGACGAUCAGUAGCUGGUCUGAGAGGACGAUCAGCCACACUGGGACUGAGACACGGCCCAGACUCCUACGGGAGGCAGCAGUGGGGAAUUUUCCGCAAUGGGCGAAAGCCUGACGGAGCAAUACCGCGUGAGGGAGGAAGGCUCUUGGGUCGUAAACCUCUUUUCUCAGGGAAGAACACAAUGACGGUACCUGAGGAAUAAGCAUCGGCUAACUCCGUGCCAGCAGCCGCGGUAAUACGGAGGAUGCAAGCGUUAUCCGGAAUGAUUGGGCGUAAAGCGUCCGCAGGUGGCAAUGUAAGUCUGCUGUUAAAGAGUCUAGCUCAACUAGAUAAGAGCAGUGGAAACUACAUAGCUAGAGUACGUUCGGGGCAGAGGGAAUUCCUGGUGUAGCGGUGAAAUGCGUAGAGAUCAGGAAGAACACCAGUGGCGAAGGCGCUCUGCUAGGCCGUAACUGACACUGAGGGACGAAAGCUAGGGGAGCGAAUGGGAUUAGAUACCCCAGUAGUCCUAGCCGUAAACGAUGGAUACUAGGCGUG